rnacentral:piRNA from 1 species
UAGCAGGUACUCAGAAAAUUUUGGAU